rnacentral:rRNA from 1 species
AGCAGCCGCGGUAAUUCCAGCUCCAAUAGCGUAUAUUAAAGUUGUUGCAGUUAAAAAGCUCGUAGUCGAAUUUCGGGGUCAGUAGGCUGGUCAUGCCACUGGUAUGUACUGGUUUCACUGAUUCCUCCUUCCUGAUGAACCGUAAUGCCAUUAAUUUGGUGUUGCGGGGAAUCUGGACUGUUACUUUGAAAAAAUUAGAGUGUUUAAAGCAGGCUAACGCUUGAAUACAUUAGCAUGGAAUAAUGAAAUAGGACGAUCGAUCCUAUUUUGUUGGUUUCUAGGAUUGACGUAAUGAUUAAUAGGGAUAGUUGGGGGCAUUAGUAUUCAAUUGUCAGAGGUGAAAUUCUUGGAUUUAUUGAAGACUAACUACUGCGAAAGCAUUUGCCAAGGAUGUUUUCAUUAAUCAAGAACGAAAGUUAGGGGAUCGAAGACGAUCAGAUACCGUCGUAGUCUUAACCAUAAACUAUGCCGACUAGGGAUCGGAUGAUGUUAAUUUUUUAAUGACUCAUUCGGCG